rnacentral:rRNA from 1 species
GUGCCAGCCGCCGCGGUAAUACGUAGGUGGCGAGCGUUAUCCGGAAUUACUGGGUGUAAAGGGUGAGUAGGCGGGAGAGCAAGUCAGAUGUGAAAUGCAAAGGCUUAACCUUUGAAUUGCAUUUGAUACUGUUUUUCUUGAGAGUCGGAGAGGUAAUCGGAAUUCCUAGUGUAGCGGUGAAAUGCGUAGAUAUUAGGGGGAACACCAGUGGCGAAGGCGGAUUACUGGACGAGAACGGAGGCUGAUUCACGAAAGCGGGGGGAGCAAAGAGGAUUAGAUACCCGGGUAUUCCACGCCGUAAACGAUGAAUGCUAGGUGUAGGUGAGCAAUCUUCUGUGCCGCAGUUAACACAAUAAGCAUUCCACCUGGGGAGUACGGCCGCAAGGUUGAAACUCAAAGGAAUUGGCGG